UACGGAGGGGGCCAGCGUUGUUCGGAAUCAUUGGGCGUAAAGAGCUCGUAGGCGGUUUGUCGCGUCUGCCGUGAAAGUCCGGGGCUCAACUCCGGAUCUGCGGUGGGUACGGGCAGACUAGAGUGAUGUAGGGGAGACUGGAAUUCCUGGUGUAGCGGUGAAAUGCGCAGAUAUCAGGAGGAACACCGAUGGCGAAGGCAGGUCUCUGGGCAUUAACUGACGCUGAGGAGCGAAAGCAUGGGGAGCGAACAGG
rnacentral:rRNA from 1 species